GCUGUAUAUGUAUGUCAGAUUGGUCCCUUCUAAUGCACGAGUUGUUCUUGUUUUAGUCCCAUAUACUAAGAGAACAUAAGGGUGAAAUUAGGAGAAGGCUAUCAUGGACAGUAGGAGUGCAUCGAGCUGUGGAUUAUGGAGUUCAUAGGCUGUGGGAGUACAAUAACGUUGGGAAACGAUAUGAAGACAUUCCAGUUUUGGGGCAAAGGCCAACAGAUGAAUGAACUAUAUAUGGACUCUUCCUUAUAACCAUCAUGUAGUUUCCGUAAGGAAAGUUGAAGUAUGCAAUUAUGCAUUAGGUAGCAGCUCUUUUUUCAUUAAUAAAAUUUUUGAUGGAUUGAACUGAUUAUAUCAAGCAUGUUUCAAUGUUUGAUGCUCUAUUCAAUUGUUUUUGGAGUGUUGAAUCAGUCUUCUAUGGCCAGAUUGACUCUUAAUAUUUUUUUUAUUGUUUGUUUCUGAAGUUUCAUCUUUUGGCCUUGAUUUCCAUUGACUGAAGUAUAUGGUCUAGAUAGUAACGGAAUGUUUGAUGAAGUUGACUGAGAAAAAAAUGUCAAU